UUGGUAUAGUCUAAAAUGACAAUGACUCAAAUGAAUUAAGAAGGGCAGCAUUGCAUCAAGUUUGCUCCAGUGUUCAAACAUGUUACACACGUACUGGAUUGAGUCUACAGGAAAGAGCCUGAUUUUUUUUUUUGUUAAAAUUAUAUAUUAUUAUAUUUGCACUUAUUUUACAGACAAAAAUUUUUUUUAAAAAUUAUUUUGCAUAAAACUAUGUUAUAUUCUAGAUAGAAAUUAUUUUAAGCAGCUUUAAAAGGCAAUAGACCCAGCUCUACAUGGCUUGCAAGAUAAGGUAAAGAAAAUCACAGUAAAAGGAUAUGUUUGGAUGGUGAAGAACACCCCAGCACCACAUAAAAUGGUGGUGAAAGUGAAGCAGCAGUAGUCGUAGUGCUCGGUGAUGUAACCAUUGCCCUCAUGGUGUGAUUUAGAAACUGCCCCCACUGGCUAGCUGUAGGGGAGGGGUAAUAUCCUCCUGGUCCUGCCCAAUUAAUCAUCCUCUGGUUUUCUUAGUCUCUGGUGCAAAAGGCAGACCCAGAUGACUAAUUCUGGCAAUAGAGGCCCUGCUUGUCAACAAGACUUCCCUUUGACAGAAGCGUGAUUUGGUUUUAAUUUUCUUUCAGCCCAUUCAUUUAUUUGAGGCUAAUGGCUGACAUGAAUCAUAGCAUUAGAAGGGAGAAGCACGAUUUGUACUAGCAGCCUAAAAGGGAUGGCAUGUCCACCAAGGAUGGCAGGAGCACAGGGUGCAGUUUCUUGAUGCUUUGGACACACAACAAGGGGAUUGGCAGAGUGACUUCUCCAAACAGCACCCUGCCCUGCUCACAGAGAGGGCAGCAGCAGCUCCAAGCCAAGGUGGAAGCUGAAAGUGAUGCUAUUUUGCAAAGGAUUUGGUGGGAGCCUCAAAUCAAGAUUUGGGCUCUGAUUUAUGUGACAAUGAUGGGCAAAAGGCUCCUUUCCUUUUGACUCUGGGCUGCCCAGCCUGGACAGCGGAUGGCACAGUCUCUAAAGGGAGCUGCAAGAACAAUGAACUCGAUGCUCAAAGAAAGAAGAGCUCAAAUAAAUCUACUUCCAGCCUCAACCAUAUAACCCCAAAUAUCUCUCCUUCAUUGCAGAUCUUAUGAAGGUUACUGUGGGCUGCAGAAACCACCAAAGGGCUGCUAAUUAACUGGCACAAAGCUCCCUCCUUCCUCAAUAUGCUCCUCAUGGCUCAAAGGUGCUUGGCACUCUCACUGCCCUUCCAGGCUCAAGCAGAGACAGGGGUGUCACCCAUGGGGCAGAGGUGGCUUCCAGAAAAGCCCCAGGUAAAGCCUUUGGCUGAAGAUUAGCUGCUUUUCGCUUUUCGGGGAAGGUAGAAAGACUUUCCCUUCAUUGCUAAGCUCUUGUUUGCCCAGUCAAGCAGUAAGAGAUUUAGGCUUUUUAGGCUUCUCUCCUUUUUUUUUUUUUUUUUUUUUUUUUUUUUUUUUUU
rnacentral:lncRNA from 1 species